rnacentral:rRNA from 1 species
AGCGGAGGAAAAGAAACCAACAGGGAUUGCCUCAGUAACGGCGAGUGAAGCGGCAAAAGCUCAAAUUUGAAAUCCCCCGGGAAUUGUAAUUUGAAGAGAUUUGGGUCCGGCCGGCAGGGGUUAAGUCCACUGGAAAGUGGCGCCACAGAGGGUGACAGCCCCGUGAACCCCUUUAACGCCCUCAUCCCAGAUCUCCAAGAGUCGAGUUGUUUGGGAAUGCAGCUCUAAGUGGGUGGUAAAUUCCAUCUAAAGCUAAAUACCGGCGAGAGACCGAUAGCGAACAAGUACAGUGAUGGAAAGAUGAAAAGCACUUUGAAAAGAGAGUGAAAAAGUACGUGAAAUUGUUGAAAGGGAAGGGCUUGCAAGCAGACACUUAACUGGGCCAGCAUCGGGGCGGCGGG